CGGCACGGGUGCGUAACGCGUGUGCAACCUACCAUCAACAGGGGGAUAACACUGAGAAAUUGGUACUAAUACCCCAUAAUAUCUCAUGCGGCAUCGCAUGGGGUUGAAAACUCCGGUGGUUGAUGAUGGGCAUGCGUUGUAUUAGCUGGUUGGUGAGGUAACGGCUCACCAAGGCGACGAUACAUAGGGGGACUGAGAGGUUAACCCCCCACAUUGGUACUGAGACACGGACCAAACUCCUACGGAAGGCAGCAG
rnacentral:rRNA from 1 species